GGUUCUGUGUAGCUCAACUGGUAGAGCAUUGCAUUAACACUGCCAGCAUUAGGGGUUCAAUUCCCUGUCUAGCCCA